rnacentral:rRNA from 1 species
UUGAACGCUGGCGGCAGGCCUAACACAUGCAAGUCGAACGGUAACAGGAAGCAGCUUGCUGCUUUGCUGACGAGUGGCGGACGGGUGAGUAAUGUCUGGGAAACUGCCUGAUGGAGGGGGAUAACUACUGGAAACGGUAGCUAAUACCGCAUAACGUCGCAAGACCAAAGAGGGGGACCUUAGGGCCUCUUGCCAUCGGAUGUGCCCAGAUGGGAUUAGCUAGUAGGUGGGGUAACGGCUCACCUAGGCGACGAUCCCUAGCUGGUCUGAGAGGAUGACCAGCCACACUGGAACUGAGACACGGUCCAGACUCCUACGGGAGGCAGCAGUGGGGAAUAUUGCACAAUGGGCGCAAGCCUGAUGCAGCCAUGCCGCGUGUAUGAAGAAGGCCUUCGGGUUGUAAAGUACUUUCAGCGGGGAGGAAGGGAGUAAAGUUAAUACCUUUGCUCAUUGACGUUACCCGCAGAAGAAGCACCGGCUAACUCCGUGCCAGCAGCCGCGGUAAUACGGAGGGUGCAAGCGUUAAUCGGAAUUACUGGGCGUAAAGCGCACGCAGGCGGUUUGUUAAGUCAGAUGUGAAAUCCCCGGGCUCAACCUGGGAACUGCAUCUGAUACUGGCAAGCUUGAGUCUCGUAGAGGGGGGUAGAAUUCCAGGUGUAGCGGUGAAAUGCGUAGAGAUCUGGAGGAAUACCGGUGGCGAAGGCGGCCCCCUGGACGAAGACUGACGCUCAGGUGCGAAAGCGUGGGGAGCAAACAGGAUUAGAUACCCUGGUAGUCCACGCCGUAAACGAUGUCGACUUGGAGGUUGUGCCCUUGAGGCGUGGCUUCCGGAGCUAACGCGUUAAGUCGACCGCCUGGGGAGUACGGCCGCAAGGUUAAAACUCAAAUGAAUUGACGGGGGCCCGCACAAGCGGUGGAGCAUGUGGUUUAAUUCGAUGCAACGCGAAGAACCUUACCUGGUCUUGACAUCCACGGAAGUUUUCAGAGAUGAGAAUGUGCCUUCGGGAACCGUGAGACAGGUGCUGCAUGGCUGUCGUCAGCUCGUGUUGUGAAAUGUUGGGUUAAGUCCCGCAACGAGCGCAACCCUUAUCCUUUGUUGCCAGCGGUCCGGCCGGGAACUCAAAGGAGACUGCCAGUGAUAAACUGGAGGAAGGUGGGGAUGACGUCAAAUCAUCAUGCCCCUUAUGACCUGGGCUACACACGUGCUACAAUGGCGCAUACAAAGAGAAGCGACCUCGCGAGAGCAAGCGGACCUCAUAAAGUGCGUCGUAGUCCGGAUUGGAGUCUGCAACUCGACUCCAUGAAGUCGGAAUCGCUAGUAAUCGUGGAUCAGAAUGCCACGGUGAAUACGUUCCCGGGCCUUGUACACACCGCCCGUCACACCAUGGGAGUGGGUUGCAAAAGAAGUAGGUAGCUUAACCUUCGGGAGGGCGCUUACCACUUUGUGAUUCAUGACUGGGGUG